rnacentral:tRNA from 1 species
GGGAAGGUGGCUCAGUGGUAGAGCGCUUGCCUUGCGUGCAUGAGGCCCUGGAU